rnacentral:rRNA from 1 species
AUUGAACGCUGGCGGCAGGCCUAACGCAUGCAAGUCGAGCGGAUGAAGGGAGCUUGCUCCUGGAUUCAGCGGCGGACGGGUGAGUAAUGCCUAGGAAUCUGCCUGGUAGUGGGGGAUAACGUCCGGAAACGGGCGCUAAUACCGCAUACGUCCUGAGGGAGAAAGUGGGGGAUCUUCGGACCUCACGCUAUCAGAUGAGCCUAGAUCGGAUUAGCUAGUUGGUGGGGUAAAGGCCUACCAAGGCGACGAUCCGUAACUGGUCUGAGAGGAUGAUCAGUCACACUGGAACUGAGACACGGUCCAGACUCCUACGGGAGGCAGCAGUGGGGAAUAUUGGACAAUGGGCGAAAGCCUGAUCCAGCCAUGCCGCGUGUGUGAAGAAGGUCUUCGGAUUGUAAAGCACUUUAAGUUGGGAGGAAGGGCAGUAAGUUAAUACCUUGCUGUUUUGACGUUACCAACAGAAUAAGCACCGGCUAACUUCGUG